UGGCGAACGGGUGAGUAAUGCGUGACCAACCUGCCCCAUGCUCCAGAAUAGCUCUUGGAAACGGGUGGUAAUGCUGGAUGCUCCAACUUGACGCAUGUCUUGUUGGGAAAGUGUUUAGUGGCAUGGGAUGGGGUCGCGUCCUAUCAGCUUGUAGGCGGGGUAAUGGCCCACCUAGGCUUCGACGGGUAGCCGGCCUGAGAGGGCGGACGGCCACAUUGGGACUGAGACACGGCCCAAACUCCUACGGGAGGCAGCAGGG
rnacentral:rRNA from 1 species